rnacentral:tRNA from 1 species
GUGGGUGUAGCUCAGUUGGUAGAGCGCCUGGUUGUGGCCCAGGUGGUCGCAGGUUCAAAUCCUGUCACUCACCCCA